rnacentral:lncRNA from 1 species
UGUCAGUGGAAAGCGUGGAGGUAACAUGAUUUGUACCACAUUGGGAUUAUAAACAAAAGCCUCUCAUUGAGCCCUUUGCACAAACAGCCGUGGUUUGCAGCUGCAGCCCUGAUGCAUUCAGAUUUCUGAAAACUUGGAAAAGGGUACAAGGGAGCACGUGCAGAAUAUUAUUUUACUUCAGAAAUAUUAAAAUUCAUUGUGGUAAGCAUCAAUGAAUCUGCAUUUGGAAACAAAAGGCAACUUUCAGAAGCCAUUGUCCAACUGCCAGGGAUUGCAAUAUGGAAGGUGCGUGGCAGCUGCUUUUUCAGACAAGC